rnacentral:rRNA from 1 species
GACGAACGCUGGCGGCGUGCUUAACACAUGCAAGUCGAACGGAAAGGCCCCUUUGGGGGUACUCGAGUGGCGAACGGGUGCGUAACACGUGAGUAACCUGCCCUUGACUUCGGGAUAACUUCAGGAAACUGGGGCUAAUACCGGAUAGGAAUCCUUGCUGCAAGGUGGGGGUUGGAAAGCUUCGGCGGUUUUGGAUGGACUCGCGGCUUAGCAGCUUGUUGGUGGGGAGUGGCUGACCAAGGCCUGGACGGGUAGCCGGCCUGAGAGGGCGACCCGCCACCUUGGGACUGAGAUGCGGCCCAGACUCCUACGGGAGGCAGCAGUGGGGAAUAUUGCACAAUGGGCGGAAGCCUGAUGCAGCAGCGCCGCGGGCGGGAUGACGGCCUUCGGGUUGUAAACCGCUUUCAGCAGGGGCGAAGCUUGUGGUGACGGUACCUGCAGAAGAAGCACCGGCUAACUACGUG